AUUUAUACAAUAGAUAAAAUGAAUACAUAGAAAUGCAAGUAUUUAACAAUGACAGUGCAAAGGCAGGCAGCAGAUCCCAGAAAACAACCACUCAAUUACGUGUAGAGAGAGGUGUUGAAAGCAACUAAUCAUAGAUACAGAGGCUGGCAGGCUGAACAGCCGUAAAGAUGAUGGAUGCAUUUUAGUCAAAAAAGAAGGAUUGGAUUGCGAAUUUGUGAUGAAGCAAGGAAGAAAGGAAUGGAAGGGAAUGGAGAACUGGGCCUGAAUUUUAUUCAUCUUUCCCGCCCUCAUUUAAUGCUGAGUUUCUUGAUUGUGCCAAGUAGCACAAACUGAUUUUUCCCUAAUGUUUGUUACUCUUGUCGCCCGUGCCAGUCCCCCACCCCUCUCUCCCACUCUUCUUUGUCUUCUUCUUUUUCGUCUCUUCUUCCUUGCACAUAUUUGUCUUCAUUCCAGUACUCUUUGAUUUAUUAUAAAAUAAUGGAUACUAUAUAUCAUGGGAUUGAGUCACGUUUCGUGUCAUCAUGCGAACUCGAUAUGCUCAUGGUCGUUGUCUUGACUAGCCUCUGAUAACGUAGUCCAUGUCAAGCACAAUCAUUUUUAUAAGGUAAAAACAUUUUUUUUUUAAUGAAAAUUCCCUUUUUUGUAUUCUACUGUAAAUUUUUCUUUUUUC
rnacentral:lncRNA from 1 species